UCGUCACGAAGGAGUCAUCGCCAUUAGCAUCAUCGGAAUGUCGUUGGAACCGUUGCAAGACGUUUGAACGGUCUCCGCGCUCGCUCGUCCAUUUGUGAACAAAGGAGGCCGUGAUUUUGAGUCGUAUGGGGUAAGCUGUGUGAUCGAAGUGUGUGAUUAAGCUUCACUUGUAUUCACACCAUGACUGUUGGCUUUUGUUGUUUGUUUGGAGCAGCGGCUGCAGUGUUGCGUCCCGUCAGGCCAUGAAAGAAGGAAGGAGGAUAUGAUUUUGCGUCGUAAUGGGUUUUUGUUGUUUGUUCGGAGCAGCGGCUGCAGUGCUGCGUCCCGUCAGGCUCUACUUUGUUGAACACUAAGCUGGGUGAACCAACUUUGUUGUUGCUAUGACCGUAUUACUCAGUUUUACUCACUUGUGUUUGAACGUUACUAAUUUGCGAUUGCACGCCCUAUCUCUCAUAUAUCUCUCACAUAUCUCUCACAUAUCUCUCCAGCGCUUCAGAGACGUCGCUGGCGCCGAAAUUCUAGCUGUUUCACCGUGGGUCGCCAGAAGAACAGGAGAUCAUUGACUGUCAAUUGUGCGACGCGACACUAUGUGGCACGAAGGAUGUGUACGUGUGAAAUACGUAACUACUGUGUGCGCGGGAUGUUUUGUAUGAUUGUGUCGACACUGGAUACCACUUUCAAGGUAUGCAUUUUCGGAAUAAAGUAGAUACAUAUAUAAUUUUGCAGUACUUCAUUUCGUGUAUUUUAUGCGUGUUGCGAGUAAGUGAACAUAUGCACUCUUAAAAAUGAACUUCACCGCAUAGCAUGCUCCUAGCCGACCAUCAACUCGAAUGAUAUCGCUAUGUGACCUGAUUUGUU